rnacentral:rRNA from 1 species
GAGUUUGAUCUUGGCUCAGAUUGAACGCUAGCGGGAUGCCUUACACAUGCAAGUCGAACGGCAGCACGGACUUCGGUCUGGUGGCGAGUGGCGAACGGGUGAGUAAUGUAUCGGAACGUGCCUAGUAGCGGGGGGAUAACUACGCGAAAGCGUAGCUAAUACCGCAUACGCCCUACGGGGAAAGGCAGGGGAUCGCAAGACCUUGCACUAUUAGAGCGGCCGAUAUCGGAUUAGCUAGUUGGUGGGGUAACGGCUCACCAAGGCGACGAUCCGUAGCUGGUUUGAGAGGACGACCAGCCACACUGGGACUGAGACACGGCCCAGACUCCUACGGGAGGCAGCAGUGGGGAAUUUUGGACAAUGGGGGAAACCCGUGAUCCAGCCAUCCCGCGUGUGCGAUGAAGGCCUCGG